rnacentral:rRNA from 1 species
UACGAAGGGGGCUAGCGUUGCUCGGAAUUAUUGGGCGUAAAGCGCGCGUAGGCGGCUACCUAAGUCGGAUGUGAAAGCCCCUGGCUUAACUGGGGAAGUGCACCCGAAACUGAGUAGCUAGAGUGCGAAAGAGGGUCGCGGAAUUCCCGGUGUAGAGGUGAAAUUCGUAGAUAUCGGGAGGAACACGGUGGCGAAGGCGGCGACCUGGGUCGACACUGACGCUGAGGCGCGAAAGCGUGGGGAGCAAACAGG